rnacentral:lncRNA from 1 species
CAUAUAUAAGUUUUUUAAGUUCCAUUUUUAGUGGUGUUUAUAAAUAUAAGAAGAUUUGGUAUGAUUGCAUGUUGUAUGAUUGCCUAAUUCAUUGAGACAACUCUCCACAAGAGACCAAAUGACACAGAAAUUAACAACUAUAUGUCACUCACAGUACAGCCUUCAACAGUGAGCAAAACGCAUACCACAUAGCCAUCAAUUAAAGGCCCGGAUAUGACAAAUGUCAAACAAAACAAAUGAGAAUGUAUGUACAAUGUAAUGAAUGAAAACCAAAUAUGUUACACAGUAACAAACAACAACCACUGCAUUACAGGCUCCUGACAAUAAGAUUUUUAAGAAUGAUUUUUUGGCGGAAUAUAUGUAUAUUUUGUUUAUGGAUUGAAUUUAAAUAAAAAAUUAGAAAAGAAUGGCAUGCAGUUAAGAAUGUUACCUUGUCAGAUUUAGGGAUCUAAUAGUUAAUCUGUAAAAUCUUCUCAAUGACAUUAAAAGCCAUUUAUUAAGACAGAUAUUUUUUUAUGUUAAAACUGCUCACUUGCCUAAAAGAAAAAAAAAGGGUGGAUAAAUGAUUGCCUUCUCAAUGAGACAGUUAUCAAUAAACCAAAAAGAAAAAUGACUUACAAAUAUCAAGAGGAGUUGAGUUUUCAUGGAAGUUUUAGCUGCAAGGAUAGUCAAAAUCCUGGUAAUUUAAGUUUGUACUACAUGUAUAUUGUAUUCCAUGUCAAGAGGGGGUGGACAGGAUUAUGGAAACAUUGGAAUUAGGGGAUGGGAAGUGGGAGUCAGGCAAGGGAAGUAGGAGACAGUUUGAACUAGGGUAGAGCCGGAGUAAAAAUUGAGAUAUUUUGGGAAUUUUUAUGCCCCACCUACGAUAGUAGAGGGGCAUUAUGUUUUCUGGUCUGUGGUUCUGUUCGUUCGUCGGUCUGUUAGUUCGUCGGUCUGUUCGUUUGUUCGUCCCGCUUCAGGUUAAAGUUUUUGGUCAAAGUAGUUUUUGAUGAAGUUGAAGUCCAAUCAACUUGAAACUUAGUACACAUGUUUCCUAUGAUAUGAUCUUUCUAACUUUAAAUGCCAAAUUAGAGUUUUUCUCCCAAAUUCAGGGUCCACUGAACAUGGAAAAUGAUAGUGCAAGUGGGGCAUCCAUGUACUUUGGACACAUUCUUGUUAUUAACUGAUUUUCAUGGUCUGGGAGUAAGGAUGACCACUAUUUGAUAACUUCAAAUUACUGCCG